GUUGCCUCUUCAUCUUCUGCUUUCUUUUGCUUAUCUUCUGCUCAUCUCAUCUUUUUCAUUUUUACUCAUCAAUAGUACAAAUUUAGAGAUAGAGAGAGGGACUCUAGAGACGAGGGUUGGCCGGUGGAGGUGAUCGAUGGUUGCGGUACUCAUGUUCUAACUGUAGCGCGCAGCAAGCCAUCACCGAUUGUUCCCACGAUUCGUCACCACAAACCCCCUGAAAAUCGUGUUUGCUUUUAUUAUUUUUUGUCCAAUCUUCUACCUAAAUCUCUUAAAGAAAGAUGAAAUGGGGAAAUCGCCGAAGACGAAAGAUGCCGCACACACACGCUCUUUUUCACUCUCUUCGACCACACUCAUAAAUAUUACCCAUCUUCCACUUCACUACCGUUCAAUCGCCAUUGCAUUCAUUGUGUUAAAUCCCCCAAUUUUGUUUCAGUCAUGCUUCUUCCCUGAUAUUAGGGUUUUCGGAGACCAUGCUUCCUUAAUCACACGGUUCAGUAGGUGAAGAAAACAGGAAGCCACAUCGGUUUAAGCCUGGGACUCAGGUGCUGCGUGAGAUUAGGCAUUUGCAAAAGACGGUUGAUAUGCUCAUUUCGGUUGCUCUGUUCAUUCGAAUUAAAGCAUGGAUGGUAAAGGAGGGUAUGCAGAAAGUAUGGAUGGCAAAGGAGGGUAUGCAGAAAACAUGGUUGAUAAAGGGGUGUUGGAAGAUGAUCAACCAAUUGCUGGGAAAAGAUAGAUUUGAAAGAAGAAAUCAAACAACUUAACUGAGAACUCACGUUACAGGAGGACACAUUCAAGUGAUUACGAAUGGAAACAGAAUAAUCCAUUUCAUCAUGGAGCGCAAAACAAAUGGGAUUCAUAAGUUGUAUAAAUAAGACAUAUGAAGAAAACGCCUCGCUCACACGCAGGAAAAUUUACAAGGCCCCGCGGGGCAACGCCCGCGGGUCGAAAUUCUAGUU